rnacentral:rRNA from 1 species
GCAUGUCUAAGUAUAAACAAAUUUUUACUGUGAAACUGCGAAUGGCUCAUUAAAUCAGUUAUAGUUUAUUUGAUGGUACCUUACUACAUGGAUAACUGUGGUAAUUCUAGAGCUAAUACAUGCUGAAAAGGCCCGACCUCUGGAAGGGUUGUAUUUAUUAGAUAAAAAACCAAUGGCGGGCAACCGUCUUGCGUUGAUUCAUGAUAACUUCUCGAAUCGCAUGGCCUUGCGCCGGCGAUGCUUCAUUCAAAUAUCUGCCCUAUCAACUUUCGAUGGUAGGGUAGUGGCCUACCAUGGUUGUGACGGGUAACGGGGAAUAAGGGUUCGAUUCCGGAGAGAGGGCCUGAGAAACGGCCCUCAGUCCUAAGGGACGCAGCAGGCGCGCAAAUUAUCCCAUCCCGACACGGGGAGAUAGUGACAAUAAAUAACAAUGUAGGGCUCUUAUGGGUCUUACAAUUGGAAUGAGUACAAUUUAAAUCCCUUAACGAGGAUCAAUUGGAGGGCAAGUCUGGUGGUAAUUCCAGCUCCAAUAGCGUAUACUAAAGUUGUUGCCGUUAAAAAGCUCGUAGUCGAACUUCGGCCUCUGCCGCCCGGUCCGCCUAUUUGGUGAGUACUGGAGCGGUGGAGGCCUACCUCGUGGUGAAUGGCCGUGCCCUUCACUGGGUGUGGUCGGGAACCAUGACUUUUACCUUGAAAAAAUUAGAGUGUUCAAAGCAGGCUUACGCCCGAAUACAUUAGCAUGGAAUAAUAAAAUAGGACGUGCGGUUCUAUUUUGUUGGUUUCUAGGAUCGCCGUAAUGAUUAAUAGGGAUAGUUGGGGGCAUUCGUAUUCAAUUGCUAGAGGUGAAAUUCUUGGAUUUAUUGAAGACGAACUACUGCGAAAGCAUUUGCCAAGGAUGUUUUCAUUGAUCAAGAACGAAGGUUAGGGGAUCGAAAACGAUCAGAUACCGUUGUAGUCUUAACAGUAAACGAUGCCGACUAGGGAUCGGACGAGGAUUUUUAAUGACUCGUUCGGCACCUGAAGAGAAAUCUUUAAGUCUAGGUUCGGGGGGGAGUAUGGUCGCAAGGCUGAAACUUAAAGGAAUUGACGGAAGGGCACCACCAUGGUGUUACAGCUCGGCGGUCUAGUCAGAUUCAACACGGGAAAACUCACCAGGUCCAGACACGACAAGGAUUGACAGAUUGAUAGCUCUUUCUUGAUUUCGUGGGUGGUGGUGCAUGGCCGUUCUUAGUUGGUGGAGUGAUUUGUCUGGUUAAUUCCGAUAACGAACGAGACCUUAACCUGCUAAAUAGCCCGGCCGACUUUGGUUGGUCGCUGGCUUCUUAGAGGGACUAUCGGCGUUUAGCCGAUGGAAGUUUGAGGCAAUAACAGGUCUGUGAUGCCCUUAGAUGUUCUGGGCCGCACGCGCGCUACACUGACCGAACCAGCGAGUAUCUCCCUUGGGCCGGAAGGCCUGGGUAAUCUUGUGAAACUCGGUCGUGAUGGGGAUAGAGCAUUGCAAUUAUUGCUCUUCAACGAGGAAUACCUAGUAAGCGUGAGUCAUCAGCUCGCGUUGAAUUCGUCCCUGCCCUUUG